UUGAAAACUUUAAACAUGUUGGCAACUGGGCUUCUCUUCUUAAGGCACCCAGUGUUCAAACAGCAGACUCUUCAGUCAUAUACACAGCCUGUUGCUGAUAUGAGCUGCCCUAAGGGAUCUUUGAGACAGUC
ensembl:snoRNA SNORA70 Small nucleolar RNA SNORA70